rnacentral:rRNA from 1 species
UGGAUCCAGACUUUGAUUAUGGCUCAGGAUGAACGCUAGCUACAGGCUUAACACAUGCAAGUCGAGGGGAAACGACAUCGAAAGCUUGCUUUUGAUGGGCGUCGACCGGCGCACGGGUGAGUAACGCGUAUCCAACCUGCCCACCACUUGGGGAUAACCUUGCGAAAGUAAGACUAAUACCCAAUGAUAUCUCUAGAAGACAUCUGAAGGAGAUUAAAGGUUUAUCGGUGAUGGAUGGGGAUGCGUCUGAUUAGCUUGUUGGCGGGGUAACGGCCCACCAAGGCUACGAUCAGUAGGGGUUCUGAGAGGAAGGUCCCCCACAUUGGAACUGAGACACGGUCCAAACUCCUACGGGAGGCAGCAGUGAGGAAUAUUGGUCAAUGGGCGAGAGCCUGAACCAGCCAAGUAGCGUGCAGGAUGACGGCCCUAUGGGUUGUAAACUGCUUUUAUAAGGGAAUAAAGUGAGCCUCGUGAGGCUUUUUGCAUGUACCUUAUGAAUAAGGACCGGCUAAUUCCGUGCCAGCAGCCGCGGUAAUACGGAAGGUCCGGGCGUUAUCCGGAUUUAUUGGGUUUAAAGGGAGCGUAGGCCGGAGAUUAAGCGUGUUGUGAAAUGUAGAUGCUCAACAUCUGCACUGCAGCGCGAACUGGUUUCCUUGAGUACGCACAAAGUGGGCGGAAUUCGUGGUGUAGCGGUGAAAUGCUUAGAUAUCACGAAGAACUCCGAUUGCGAAGGCAGCUCACUGGAGCGCAACUGACGCUGAAGCUCGAAAGUGCGGGUAUCGAACAGGAUUAGAUACCCUGGUAGUCCGCACGGUAAACGAUGGAUGCCCGCUGUUGGUCUGAAUAGGUCAGCGGCCAAGCGAAAGCAUUAAGCAUCCCACCUGGGGAGUACGCCGGCAACGGUGCAACUCAAAGGAAUUGACGGA